rnacentral:rRNA from 1 species
GCAGUCGAGGGGCAGCAUGGUCUUAGCUUGCUAAGGCUGAUGGCGACCCGUGCACGGGUGAGUAACACGUAUCCAACCUGCCGUCUACUCUUGGCCAGCCUUCUGAAAGGAAGAUUAAUCCUGGAUGGGAUCAUGAGUUCACAUGUCCGCAUGAUUAAAGGUAUUUUCCGGUAGACGAUGGGGAUGCGUUCCAUUAGAUAGUAGGCGGGGUAACGGCCCACCUAGUCAACGAUGGAUAGGGGUUCUGAGAGGAAGGUCCCCCACAUUGGAACUGAGACACGGUCCAAACUCCUACGGGAGGCAGCAGUGAGGAAUAUUGGUCAAUGGGCGAUGGCCUGAACCAGCCAAGUAGCGUGAAGGAUGACUGCCCUAUGGGUUGUAAACUUCUUUUAUAAAGGAAUAAAGUCGGGUAUGCAUACCCGUUUGCAUGUACUUUAUGAAUAAGGAUCGGCUAACUCCGUGCCAGCAGCCGCGGUAAUACGGAGGAUCCGAGCGUUAUCCGGAUUUAUUGGGUUUAAAGGGAGCGUAGAUGGAUGUUUAAGUCAGUUGUGAAAGUUUGCGGCUCAACCGUAAAAUUGCAGUUGAUACUGGAUGUCUUGAGUGCUGUUGAGGCAGGCGGAAUUCGUGGUGUAGCGGUGAAAUGCUUAGAUAUCACGAAGAACUCCGAUUGCGAAGGCAGCCUGCUAAGCUGCAACUGACAUUGAGGCUCGAAAGUGUG